CUACGGGUCGCUCCAGUGGGGAAUAUUGCACAAUGGGCGCAAGCCUGAUGCAGCCAUGCCGCGUGUAUGAAGAAGGCCUUCGGGUUGUAAAGUACUUUCAGCGGGGAGGAAGGGAGUAAAGUUAAUACCUUUGCUCAUUGACGUUACCCGCAGAAGAAGCACCGGCUAACUCCGUGCCAGCAGCCGCGGUAAUACGGAGGGUGCAAGCGUUAAUCGGAAUUACUGGGCGUAAAGCGCACGCAGGCGGUUUGUUAAGUCAGAUGUGAAAUCCCCGGGCUCAACCUGGGAACUGCAUCUGAUACUGGCAAGCUUGAGGCUCGUAGAGGGGGGUAGAAUUCCAGGUGUAGCGGUGAAAUGCGUAGAGAUCUGGAGGAAUACCGGUGGCGAAGGCGGCCCCCUGGACGAAGACUGACGCUCAGGUGCGAAAGCGUGGGGAGCAAACAGGAUUAGAUACCCCUGUAGUC
rnacentral:rRNA from 1 species